GUGCUCGCUUUGACUGCAUAUAUACUAAAAUUGAAACAACAACAGAGAAGAUUAGCGGGGCUCUUGCACAAGAAUGAUCCAAUCUUUGGUGUUAAGUCUGUUUUCUCU